rnacentral:rRNA from 1 species
UACGUAGGGGGCUAGCGUUGUCCGGAAUCAUUGGGCGUAAAGGGUGCGUAGGUGGUCGGGUAAGUCUGAUGUGAAAUCUCCAAGCUCAACUUGGAAACUGCAUCGGAUACUAUUCGGCUCGAGGGUUGGAGGGGGGACUGGAAUGCUUGGUGUAGCAGUGAAAUGCGUAGAUAUCAAGCGGAACACCAGUGGCGAAGGCGGCUCACUGGCCCGAUACUGACGCUGAGGUGCGAAAGCGUGGGGAGCAAACAGG